rnacentral:rRNA from 1 species
AAAAGGCAAUAAUGAUUGCUUUCUGAGUACUUGCGGACGAAAAGAAGAAGGCACAUAAUCACAUUUGGCUUGUGUCCAAGUUGUAGUUUCAUGCACUUGUCCGACAAACCCUUGACAUAAGCUCAUUGGAACUGGGCGCCACAGCGGGUUAGAGUCCCACGUGUGGCCUGUUGGGAUUUGUGAAAGGGGUGCUUUGAUUGAGUUGCACUUCUUUGGAAUGGGGUGUGAAUCUGGUGGUACGUGUCACCCAAUGCAAAGCGAUGCUGGGACUGAUAGUGAACAAGUACCAUGAGGGAAUGGUGAAAAGAACUUUGGAAAGAGAGGCAAGCAGUGCAUGUGAUUUCAGUGGGCAAAGGGAGUUUGAUUGAUGACUUGUUUUCUGAUUGCGCUGCCUGCAUGCGUUUUGUGCAGUUAGAACUGCAUUGCGCAUCAAGCAGUGUGCUUCUGAUUUUGCGUGUCCAAAUUGUGCUCGUUGGGAACAUUUCCUUGGUGAGGUCACGUUCUUGUGCUUGGCUUCAUUGACUGUCAGUACCCAAUGUACGCAAGUGCCACGUUGUGAGAACAUGAGGCUC